UGCACUAAAACUGAUUUUCUUGAGUACUGGAGAGGAAAGUGGAAUUCCUAGUGUAGCGGUGAAAUGCGUAGAUAUUAGGAGGAACACCAGUGGCGAAGGCGACUUUCUGGACAGAAACUGACGUUGAGGCACGAAAGUGUGGGGAGCAAACAGGAUUAGAUACCCUGGUAGUCCACACCGUAAACGAUGGAUACUAGGUGUAGGGUGUGAUAAACACUCUGUGCCGUCGCAAACGCAAUAAGUAUCCCACCUGGGGAGUACGGCCGCAAGGUUGAAACUCAAAGGAAUUGACGGGGGCCCGCACAAGCAGUGGAGUAUGUGGUUUAAUUCGAAGCAACGCGAAGAACCUUACCAGGGCUUGACAUAAACAGGAAUAUAUAAGAGAUUAUAUAGCUCUUCGGAGUCUGUUUACAGGUGGUGCAUGGUUGUCGUCAGCUCGUGUCGUGAGAUGUUAGGUUAAGUCCUGCAACGAGCGCAACCCCUAUUCUUAGUUGCCAGCAUGUAAAGAUGGGAACUCUAGGAAGACUGCCGGUGAUAAAUCGGAGGAAGGUGGGGACGACGUCAAAUCAUCAUGCCCUUUAUGUCCUGGGCUACACACGUACUACAAUGGCUAUCACAGAGAGAAGCGAAGCAGUGAUGUGGAGCAAAACUCAAAAAAGUAGUCUCAGUUCGGAUUGAAGGCUGAAAUUCGCCUUCAUGAAGCCGGAAUUGCUAGUAAUGGCAGGUCAGCAUACUGCCGUGAAUACGUUCCCGGGCCUUGUACACACCGCCCGUCACACCAUGAGAGUUGGGAAUACCCGAAGCCCGUGAGCCAACUUGUAAAAGAGGCAGCGGUCGAAGGUAGAAUCAUGAUUGGGGGUGAAGUCGUAAACAGGUAGCCGUAUCGGAAGGUGCGGCUG
rnacentral:rRNA from 1 species